rnacentral:rRNA from 1 species
UUUACAGUAUAAAUCUUUUUUUUAUUUAAAAUUUUAAUUUGUAUUUUUAGUAAAAAUACUAAAAUAAAAAAAAGGGACGAUAAGACCCUGAAAGCUUAAAAUGAUAAUUAUAAAAAUUUUUAUUUAGAAUUAUAGUGUUGUUAUUAGCUGGGGUAGUUUUUAUACAAAAACUAUAAUUAAUUAAUACAUUGUUUUUAUGGUCCUUUAUAUAAGGAUAGUUAGAAAAAGUUACUUCAGGGAUAACAGCAUAAUAAUUUUGUAGAGUUCUUAUCGAUAAAAUUGAGUGUGACCUCGA